GCCACCGACAUGUUUGACCACCGACAAGCCCUCGUUCUUAUAUUGUUCUGGGGCAAUAUUAGAAACCCUAAUCCAGUGAUCUGAAUCCGAGUUGUGGCUGUACAGAAGGG